rnacentral:rRNA from 1 species
AAGACCUUGCGCUUUUGGAGCGGCCGAUGUCUGAUUAGCUUGUUGGUGAGGUAAAGGCUUACCAAGGCUUCGAUCAGUAGCUGGUCUGAGAGGACGGCCAGCCACACUGGGACUGAGACACGGCCCAGACUCCUACGGGAGGCAGCAGUGGGGAAUUUUGGACAAUGGGGGCAACCCUGAUCCAGCCAUGCCGCGUGAGUGAAGAAGGCCUUCGGGUUGUAAAGCUCUUUCAGCCGGAACGAAACGGUUACGGUUAAUACCCGUGACUACUGACGGUACCGGAAGAAGAAGCACCGGCUAACUACGUGCCAGCAGUCGCGGUAAUACGUAGGGUGCAAGCGUUAAUCGGAAUUACUGGGCGUAAAGCGUGCGCAGGUGGUUUUGUAAGUCAGAUGUGAAAUCCCCGGGCUUGACCUGGGAACU